rnacentral:rRNA from 1 species
AUUGAACGCUGGCGGCAUGCUUUACACACGCAAGUCGAACGGUAACAGGGUGCUUGCACCGCUGACGAGUGGCGAACGGGUGAGUAAUGCGUCGGAACGUGCCGAGUAGUGGGGGAUAACGCAGCGAAAGUUGUGCUAAUACCGCAUACGUACUGAGGUAGAAAGUGGGGGACCUUCGGGCCUCACGCUAUUCGAGCGGCCGACGUCUGAUUAGCUAGUAGGUGAGGUAAAGGCUCACCUAGGCGACGAUCAGUAGCGGGUCUGAGAGGAUGAUCCGCCACACUGGGACUGAGACACGGCCCAGACUCCUACGGGAGGCAGCAGUGGGGAAUUUUGGACAAUGGGCGAAAGCCUGAUCCAGCCAUGCCGCGUGUCUGAAGAAGGCCUUCGGGUUGUAAAGGACUUUUGUCAGGGAGGAAAUCCCUAGUGCUAAUAACACUGGGGGAUGGCAGUACCUGAAGAAUAAGCACCGGCUAACUACGUGCCAGCAGCCGCGGUAA